GAGACGCCGGCCUGCUGCUAUGGGUAAGGCCGAUACUAGUCUAACGUCGCCAAUUUGAUAGGAUUUUCACCGUUAUAUGAACGCCGCCUCAGUCAGGACUGAUAUCAGCAAGUAGCAUGCAGUAGAGUAGAUAGAGACACAUGUUUAGGGAUACAGUGCGCAAAAAUUUGUGCGUGUGUGUGCUGGGUGGGGGGCAGCGUUCGCCAUGAACAACAUUGCUCAGUGGUAUUUGCAUGCACCUCUUAGAAAUAAACUGCACUCCUUUACCUAAAUUACAUGACUGUAUCAUCAAGUAGAAGCAAUCUUUUUUUGAAGUCCAUUGUUCAUGAGCUGUGGCCAUUUUUCAACUGCUUGUUCAGGACAGGUACCACAAAUUCAUACCUCAAUUCAGUGAGAACAAGCACAAUUAUUUUGUUUUCCGCUUUCGGUUCUGAGCAGGUGCAACCUUUUCAGUUAUGAAACGCAUGGGAGUGAGAUACCUCAAGUGUGCAAUACCAGCCGUAAGCUAUUCAGUUCGUUGACGGCGCCGAGCCGGUUAAUCUGCAACUCUCAGAAGUGCAGAGUUUGCCAAAGAGUUCUGCCACUGCUUCAAGAACUCUUACCCGGAUGUUGUUAAUGCUGCGCUGCUCGCCACUUCAAUUCUUCAAUGGUGGGCUCCACUGUUGCUGCCUAUAUUGCUUGGAAUAUUUGGAAUGACCAGAACCGGGGAGUUUUUCAGCAUAAGACAGCUUCGAUGUCAGCUGUCGCUGCCUUCAUCAGAGAAGAUAUCAGCCUCUUUGCUGAGGCCUGGGAGUAGUUCCUUUUCUAUUUUUUGUACUGCUUGCCUCGGCUGCUGUGGCCUCUUUCUUUCCCUCCUGUUUUCUUAGGCUGUGACCAAAGCCUACUUGUACAGUUUUCCCUCUACUAAAUGCAAAGGCAGAGCACCUGCCAUUUCUGGUAAAAAAGAAGAAGUGCAGAGUUGUGAGACCUGCCGACUGGGUUUCUUAAUUAGCUUGUUUAUGAUUUAAAGCUGAAGGUGAUUAGUUUUGCUGACUUUUGCACUUUUGUGAUGACAGACCAAAAAUCAAUGGCCUAAAGGAUCAGCUCAUGGGAUUCGAGGCAAGUCUGGCAGACGCUAUGUCCAGUACGCAUUUCAAGCAUUUCUUCACUCACUUGUGCACUUUGCAGUAAUGGCAUCUAUAUCCUACUCAAUUUGUUUAUUUUUGGUUAUAAUGGUUCACCACAUGCGCUAGUUAAUCAAUGUUUGAUUUCGUAUUGAUGUCCUUGCAUUUUACUGCAUUCCAUGGAAGGGCUGAAAUCUUGUACACUGCCUCUCCAGCCUGAGUGAAGAAAAAGGAUCACAAAGUAAGCUCACCAGUGAGUCAAUUUUGAAUGCCACUCCAACGAACGAGCAGCUCAGGAGCUUGGUCUUGUAUUAGAAGGCUAGGACUAGGAGAGAUAAGUGUAAUAUCACAUCAGCUUUGAGGUAAAAAUGUAUUCUAAAUCAUAUAGUACAAUAUUUUAAGGCUGCACAGUAUUACUAUUAUCUGAUCCGCAAAGCCUAAACUGAGUAGGAAAUUAGAAGUGUUUCAGUAGGAUUUAAAGAUAUGAGUCCAAAUAUUCCAGUCUGAGCUCUUUUGAACUCCUAGGGUCAACAUAUUUUGCCGUUGUAAUUGAUAGUUAUGUUGACUCCAACAUGAUUCUUUUGUUAGAAUAUUUCCCUUGGCUAUGUGCAGGACGUGAAAUCAACAUGCCUUCAUACAUCUUCAUUUGAUGCCAGCUAUCGAAGCUAUUGAGGCUAAUAUUGACACGAUGGGAAAAAGAACCUAGACGAAGUUAUCUUGUGGUACAAUAAAUUUCUCGGUUUUGAAGUUUUUGCAGAAUGUAUUGAGAGUUUCAAUGACAUGGUCCAUUAAGUUGCUUCAUACCAUCACAUGUGACAUCUCCUCUUUUUUCAAGGGGUUAGAUUUGUCUUCAAUAAAGUUGACAUGCAAAGAAUGGCGGGCCUGUGGCCUGCUGGUCCUGCACUGUCUAAUAUUCAUAUUGUUUGAAAAU
rnacentral:lncRNA from 1 species